rnacentral:rRNA from 1 species
GCCUACGGCCAUACCAGUCUGAACGUGCCAGAUCUCAGAAGUUAUGCAGACUUGGGCCUGAUUAGUACCUGUAUGGGAGACCAACUAGGAACCUCAGGUGCCAUAAGCU